CACAUGCAGUCGAACGAAGCACUUUAUUUGAUUUCCUUCGGGACUGAUUAUUUUGUGACUGAGUGGCGGACGGGUGAGUAACGCGUGGGUAACCUGCCUUGUACAGGGGGAUAACAGUUGGAAACGGCUGCUAAUACCGCAUAAGCGCACGGCAUCGCAUGAUGCAGUGUGAAAAACUCCGGUGGUAUAAGAUGGACCCGCGUUGGAUUAGCUAGUUGGUGAGGUAACGGCCCACCAAGGCGACGAUCCAUAGCCGACCUGAGAGGGUGACCGGCCACAUUGGGACUGAGACACGGCCCAAACUCCUACGGGAGGCAGCAGUGGGGAAUAUUGCACAAUGGGCGAAAGCCUGAUGCAGCGACGCCGCGUGAGCGAAGAAGUAUUUCGGUAUGUAAAGCUCUAUCAGCAGGGAAGAUAAUGACGGUACCUGACUAAGAGGCACCGGCUAAAUACGUGCCAGCAGCCGCGGUAAUACGUAUGGUGCAAGCGUUAUCCGGAUUUACUGGGUGUAAAGGGAGCGCAGGCGGUGCGGCAAGUCUGAUGUGAAAGCCCGGGGCUCAACCCCGGUACUGCAUUGGAAACUGUCGUACUAGAGUGUCGGAGGGGUAAGCGGAAUUCCUAGUGUAGCGGUGAAAUGCGUAGAUAUUAGGAGGAACACCAGUGGCGAAGGCGGCUUACUGGACGAUAACUGACGCUGAGGCUCGAAAGCGUGGGGAGCAAACAGGAUUAGAUACCCUGGUAGUCCACGCCGUAGACGAUGAAUACUAGGUGUUGGGAAGCAUUGCUUCUCGGUGCCGUCGCAGACGCAGUAAGUAUUCCACCUGGGGAGUACGUUCGCAAGAAUGAAACUCAGAGGAAUUGACGGGGACCCGCA
rnacentral:rRNA from 1 species